rnacentral:lncRNA from 1 species
CCUGGCCAACAGUGUUGCCACAAGUUCAGCCUCUUCUGGAAAGCAUCCCUUUCUUGGCUUCCUGACCCCUUCCCGCUGUGGUCCCACCCCCGCUUUUCUUUCACAGCCAAACCUCUCACCUGGGGGCAUCUACACAAGUGUUUCCCACUUCCUCACCUCCCACCUCCCUCAGUCUGGCUGCGGCCCCCUCCAGGCCGCUGAGGCUGGCCUCUGACAGCUGCCUCUGACCUCCUUGUUGCCAAAUCUAGCGGACGCCCUUCCUCCCCCAUCGCACGUGGGCUAUGGACCCGGCCUGGCACUGCCGACACUUCCUCCUCCUUGACACACUUUCUGGCCUCAGCUGCUGGACACCCAGGCGUCACCGCUCUCCUCCCUGAUUUGCCUUCUCUAAGAUAAUGACCCCCACAUCAUCAGCAGCAGCCUGGACAUAUUCCUUUGUGGUGGGACAAAGGCAGGCCCAGCCAGGGCCCUUCGGCUCACUCUUCCCAAAUGGCUUCUGGGUCAGCCCGGAGCCCAACUGGGAUGAAAGGCCCCUGAGGUCAAAAGUCAUAUUCUCUUCCCUUCUGUAUCCUCAAAGGGCCCAGAAAAGUGCUAGGCAAAGCUUUAGGCCCCUGCUCUGUUGAAAAAAGAGGUUCAAUCCAAAUAAAAACCAAUUGCAAUGUCAGAGACUUACCAGAGGCUAGGGUAAGUGUCCCCUUGGACAAGCCAUGGUCCCCCAGGCACCUCACUCUGAUCCGCUUCUGCCACAGCUAUAAUUCUGAAGCAAACCCACAUGCCACUCGCUGCAUAAACCCCUCCAUGGCUCCCCACUGCCUGUCCCCUCUGCCUGGGCUCUCCUGACAACCUGGCCCACUCUCCAGCCUCAUCUCCCAUGGCUCCUCUCCAGCCUCAUCUCCCAUGGCUCCUCUUUGAGCAUCUUCUUUGUGCCCCAGAAUGUGUGCUGUUUCCUAGACACACCCAAUACUUUUUGGCCCUCUCUUUUAUCUCCUGACAAACUUCUAACUAUCCUUCAAGGCUUUCUCUAAAAUGUCUCCUCCAGAUAGCCUUCCUUGAUUCCUCCAGCACACAGUGGUCUCUCUCUCCCCAGCACACUCUAAGAAGUCCAUGCCCAACUAAGAGCAGGUGAUGUUUGCCACCUUGAAUGAUAAUGAUCUGUCUCCCUGCUCUCCCCCAUGGAGAGCUCUCUGAAAACAGGCCCA